rnacentral:rRNA from 1 species
AGUGAACGCUGGCGGUAGACCUAACACAUGCAAGUCGAACGGCAGCACAGUAAGAGCUUGCUCUUACGGGUGGCGAGUGGCGGACGGGUGAGGAAUACAUCGGAAUCUACUUUUUCGUGGGGGAUAACGUAGGGAAACUUACGCUAAUACCGCAUACGACCUACGGGUGAAAGCAGGGGAUCUUCGGACCUUGCGCGAUUGAAUGAGCCGAUGUCGGAUUAGCUAGUUGGCGGGGUAAAGGCCCACCAAGGCGACGAUCCGUAGCGGGUCUGAGAGGAUGAUCGGCCACACUGGAACUGAGACACGGUCCAGACUCCUACGGGAGGCAGCAGUGGGGAAUAUUGGACAAUGGGCGCAAGCCUGAUCCAGCCAUACCGCGUGGGUGAAGAAGGCCUUCGGGUUGUAAAGCCCUUUUGUUGGGAAAGAAAAGCAGCAGGUUAAUCCCCCGCUGUUCUGACGGUACCCAAAGAAUAAGCCCCGGCUAACUUCGUG